rnacentral:rRNA from 1 species
UACGUAGGGGGCAAGCGUUGUCCGGAAUUAUUGGGCGUAAAGAGCGUGUAGGCGGUCCGGUAAGUCGGCUGUGAAAGUCCAGGGCUCAACCCUGGGAUGCCGGUCGAUACUGCCGGACUAGAGUUCGGAAGAGGCGAGUGGAAUUCCCGGUGUAGCGGUGAAAUGCGCAGAUAUCGGGGGGAACACCUAUGGCGAAGGCAGCUCGCUGGGACGUUACUGACGCUGAGACGCGAAAGCGUGGGGAGCGAACAGG